rnacentral:misc_RNA from 1 species
GAAAAUGGCGAGUGGAAGGCCGGGGAUGUCGACUGCAAGGCAUGCAUUGGAACAGCUUGUCUUCGGGCGAGCUUUGCGUACGAUUUGGCCAAGAAACGCAGCGAAACCGAGGAAACUGAUGACCGCGCUCAAGCCCUACAGCGUCAACGCCUACAAUCUGGCCAAAAACUCCGAAAACAAGAUGCACGACGAUCAGGUCGCGCGCCGCUUUGGAUUCCAGGGCGGACUGGUGCCCGGCGUCGAUGUGUUCGCCUACAUGACCCACAUGCCGGUGGCGAAAUGGGGC